rnacentral:ribozyme from 1 species
CACGCGCGCAACUCAAAUGAAACAAAAAAAAAAAAAAAAAAAAAAA